rnacentral:rRNA from 1 species
CCUACGGGUGGCAGCAGUGAGGAAUAUUGGUCAAUGGACGAGAGUCUGAACCAGCCAAGUAGCGUGAAGGAUGACUGCCCUAUGGGUUGUAAACUUCUUUUAUAAAGGAAUAAAACGAGGCACGUGUGCCUUUUUGCAUGUACUUUAUGAGUAAGGAUAGGCUAACUCCGUGCCAGCAGCCGCGGUAAUACGGAGGAUCCGAGCGUUAUCCGGAUUUAUUGGGUGUAAAGGGAGCGUAGAUGGGUUGUUAAGUCAGUGGUGAAAGUCUGCGGCUCAACCGUAAAAUUGCAAUUGAUACUGGAAGUCUUGAGUACAGAUGAGGUAGGCGGAAUUCGUGGUGUAGCGGUGAAAUGCUUAGAUAUCACGAAGAACCCCGAUUGCGAAGGCAGCUUACUAAACUGUGACUGACAUUGAUGCUCGAAAGUGUGGGUAUCAAACAGGAUUAGAUACCCCUGUAGUC